rnacentral:rRNA from 1 species
GACGAACGCUGGCGGCGUGCUUAACACAUGCAAGUCGAGCGGUAAGGCCCUUUCGGGGGUACACGAGCGGCGAACGGGUGAGUAACACGUGGGUGACCUGCCUUUAGCUCUGGGAUAAGCCUGGGAAACUGGGUCUAAUACCGGAUAUGACUCCGCGGUGCAUGCUGUGGGGUGGAAAGCCUUGUGCGGCUGGAGAUGGGCCCGCGGCCUAUCAGCUUGUUGGUGGGGUGAUGGCCUACCAAGGCGACGACGGGUAGCCGGCCUGAGAGGG